CUGUGGUAUUGAAUUCGAUAUAACCAGUUCAAUGCUCAGUAAAUUGUACUUUUUUUUUUUUUUCAUGAAAAAGCAUUUUGGGUGCACAUAAGAGAUCUAGGGGAGUCACUCACUCGAUCGGACUGUUUUAAUCGAAAAUAACCCUCGAUUUGUUAUGCAAAACCACGUCAGGUAGGUAACAUACAGUGAAAAAAAUUGAUUAGGAUGAGUCUCUGGGCAAAAUAGAAAUGUUUAAAUUAUAUACGGAAAUUAGACGUGUUUUUUUUUACAAAAAAAAAGUCCAAAAAUUUAUUGGGCAUUGGACCAGUUUGGUAUACUCGAUACCACAGUUCCUCUGGCUAACGCAUUACCCAAUGCGCCAUGGUCAAUUGUAAAUGGAUGAGUGUAAAACAAAUAGGUAUGUAAUCUAAAACCGUAUUAACGACGAACUUCAAACUUCCACAACUUUUUUAAUAGUGAUUUCCACAAAAAUAUUCAAACAGUUCCGAAAUCGGCGUCAAAAAAACACAUGUUUUCAGAGAAAAAAAAAAGGUGUCCG